ACCGCCGGGGCCGCCUCAGCGGAGCCGCCGCCUCAGCGGAGCCGCUCCCUGGCCGGGGAUGUCCGUCCCGCCGCCGCUCGUGGCCCGUGUCCCCGAGCGCUGGUGUCACCGCCGGCCGCGGAGGAGGCGGCCCCGAGCGAGCUCCCAAGGGAUCCCCGGGGCUGGGCCGGGCCCGGGUCAGACAACAGCAUUCGAGUACUAGGGCUCAGCUCAGCCCCACGAACUGAGGCAACGGGAAGGGGCUUUAAACCGGCAGCACCGAGACACAAACGCUGACCAGCUGCACCCCGUGGUGAAACACCGGCUCUGCUGGGAUCCCUGCAAACUCCCCUGUGAGUUGUCUCCGGAAUUCAUCCCUCUGUUCUUCGAGGCUUCCUUCUGCCUUACAUGACUCAGGUCUAUCUCUUCUAUGCUGAUACUUCCUGUAGCUGAAGCUUGCUGGGACAUUUGAAAACUACUGCUACUGCUGCUGCCACUGAUACUUCCAGUGCCGAUCCCGCUUGUUCCACUGCCGGAAAGCUCCUCUGCUUCAAUACGUUUUCUCUUGCCUCGGGAAGAGCGAACAAGUGAAGUGCUGCUGCUGCUGCUGCUGGAGGUAGCCCGAGAGACUGUGACACGGGAGGAGGGACUUGGAGAGAGCUUCAACCUUAACACAACCAAGAAUGCAUUUUAAUGAAUUUAUCCAGAGAACCACAGACAAAGCUACAAUAUCCCCAAGUAACCAGACUGUAAUGUGCUCCGAGGCUGACAGCAGCCUCACUCUCAAUAUCAAGAGGACUUCAUACACAAGGAGGAGGGGGCUACCCAUCCCUGAGGAAUGUUCUGGCAGUACGACCAUGUGACGCAGAAAGCAGUGCUACUGAGAGCAACACAGAUCACUUAACCCCUCCCUCCAGUACAGCUACUACUAAACACACUAUUCUCAGGCCCCAUGAUUUAAAACCACAGAAAUACAAGCACUUGAGUAAAAAGAUGAUAUGAAGACCAAGCACAGAAUGAUAUAUUCCACUCUACUCCAAGCCCAUUAUAAAAACCCAAAAUAAAGACAGUGUUCAGUUGAGAACAAGUGUUCCAUGCAACACACUGUGGUGUGAAGCCAACUUCAGUGAAAGAAAAUCUGGGCAUUCCUGCACAAGUGGUAAAAAAAUAAGUGCAAGAAAUGAAAAUAACACUUGUAAGUCCUGAGAAAAGAAAGUGGAAUCUGUAUGUACCUUUCCUCUUCUCCUUCCAGGAGUUUUCGGUAAGCACUGAUCUCCAUGUCCAGUGCUAAUUUAACAUCAAGCAGUUCUUGGUACUCUGUAAGCUGAAGCUGCAUCUGGUCCCUCAUGUCUGUCAUUUCCCUCUCCUUUGCAUCCAGCAUCUUCCUAAACUUCUCCCGUUCACCAGCCAUCAUUUCCUCCAGUUCCCGAAUGCGAUCUUCUGCUGCACUGGCCUAGGCACACAGCACAAGAAAAAGACCACUUGGCAUCCAUGCAAGUCCACUCAAAAAGUUAAAAGCCUUCUCCCUCCCAAAUGAACAUAACAAAGAUCUCUCUAUGUAAAAUUCAGAAAAUAUGAAGGGUCAGAAAUGUUAAUAUAUUCACACAAAACAGCUGUGUGUUUGACCCAAAAGCAAAUUUAGUCCCUUUACCUGUUUCUGAAGACCAGAAAGCUGGUAGCUGAGAGCUUCUAUCCUCAUGCGAGCCUCCUUCAGCUCCUCUCGAGCUGCACCAGCAGCUUUGUCAUUUUGGUCAGAGGACAAUUUGGCAUUCUCCAGCUGAAAGGAAAGUUUUAUACAGCUCACUUGUACUGAGUUAGAAAUCCAGCAAUAUACUUUUGGUAAAAAAAUAGCAACUGUUUAAUUUUAAAAAUUUUAAAUGGUCUGGUAAGUUUAGGAUAAGAAGUGCAUAACAUUAAGAAAUGCUCUAAGGACCAGGAAAAUCUAUUUCAGAUCUGUUCCUAGAGGAUUUGCUUAUGCUGUUAAAAAAAUACUCUAUUAGCCCUUCCAUUAUACAAGCAACCUUAGUUUCCAAAAAACUGACCACAUGCUCUGCUUGUUUGUCCUAAGGCAAAUCACACUGGGUGACAGCAAAGGCUGCCUACCUAAUUCCUGUCCUGGUCCAACAGUUCCCUGGAUGCCCAGAGACCAACUCAAUAAAAUAUUCCACAGGUAUUAUGUCUCUGCUGGCCAUUUGCAAGUCAGGGACUUCCUAAGUCAGAGACAAUAUUUUGCUGCUUACUACCUCUCCAUGGAUUUCUCAGGCAGGAAUUUGUCUCUGCUUUUUGAAUUUUUGGGGCAAAGAGUUUAGCUCUAUAUUAAAGAACAAUCCUUUUUGUUUCUUCUCAAUCUGCCACUGGACAUUCACUGUUCCUGCUCCUACUGAAAAAAUAAUAAACCAUAACUCCCCAUUCACCUUCCCCCAUGCCAUUUAUCCUUUUACAGACAUCCAUUCUAUCUUCCACUUCUCUCAACGUGUCUCUUUUCCAGGUGAAAGUUUUAUUUAAAGUUUUCUCAUGCAUGACUUGUUUCCCACUCUAAAUUGUCUUUGUCAGUCUGGUAUUACUCUGUAGUACCUUUGCAAGAAGGAAUAAAACUACCCACGGCACUCCAGACGACAUCCUGUCCCAGAGGCAAAACAAUGGGUUUGGUUUUAUUCUCUUUCCCUAAUAGUUGUCAAUAUAUGAUUUGGUUUUAAUUUUUGUUAAAUUCACCUAGUGAACAAGCUUCAUUUCUAGUGGUUAAUUUUAACCAAAACAGAGAGAGCAAAACCAGAACUGUUACAUGGUAAGUUUCAUGAAAACAGAGAGCUAGAAAAAGCAUCCUUUGCAUGCCUUGCAGCUGGACUUCAACAAUUUUGCCACACCAUGGAAUCCACUCAAAAACUAAACCGAUCCAAUUCUAAGAAUAGUUCCAGGGAGAAGAUGUUCUUUAGCCACACAGCACAAAGCUUUAUAAAAUCAGUCUUCAUUAGCUCUGCUAUUCACUAGGUUCUGAGCAGCACACACAGAGCCUUCUUUAGGCUACAGAUUUUGAAGGAACUUCAACUACACACUCCAUUACUUCUUGUAAAGUUUAAAAUUAAAAAAUAUUUGAAGUCUGACAACCAUUCACAACCUUACAGUCAUGCUGGCAUAGUGCCAAAUACUCGGAAUUUCUAUUGCUUAUUAUCACAGAUCAUGAUGAUCUUUCUUAGAAGCCCCUCUUAAGUAUUCAAAAGUCACAAUAAAGUCUCCCUGGAGAGUUCUCCUGUCCAGGCUGAACACCCCAUCUCUCUCAGCUCUCUCCAUAAUAGAGGUGCUCCAGUCCUCGGAGCCUCGGAGACCUCUAUUAUUUUGUGGCCUUCCCUGGACUUUCUCCAGCAGCUCCACAUCUGUCCUGUGCAAGAAGUAAGCUUUUACCCAAGACCGUCUCAUCCUGGAGCUGCUCAGUAGCUAAACCUAAUGAUUUGCUUUGACAUCAUAUUCCUUCCCAGCUUUGGUCCUCCAACAGGGACACAUCUUUGUUCAGAAAUCACAGAAUGAAGUUCACAGCUAAACCCUUCCCUUCAUAUUCCAACUUCAUCCAUAACAACCAUCUUUUAUGCAGGGAAAAAGCAGCUUAAUUUGUUCAUUCCCCUAUUCAAAGCUUGUACUUUUUCAUUCUCUAAGUCUGUAUAUUGCAGCCUUUUCUUAAAAUUUUUUUUCUAAGCAUCUUCUAUCCUGGAUCCCCUUCAGACUGUGACAAGUCAAUCCAAAUAGCUCCUUGUAUAAAGUACUACAUGUUCCAGAGUUCUGUGAAUAAUUCCAACACUGCCAACUGUACUUAAUUUUGGGGUUUUAGUAUCUAUUAUCUAUAGUGUUGCUGCUGUAAGUUAAAUAUUUGUAGAUCUGUGUUUCUCAAACCAAAUAAUCAACCUGAAGAAUUCAAAGGGAGUCUCAGUGAAGGGUGGGGAGAACAAUGUUAGCAGUACCAUCAUUCUUCCAGACAAGAGAACAAGAAGUGGCUGUAACUAUCGACAACAGCCAGAAUUGCCAUGAUGGGGCUCUGAGCAGCCUGGUCUAGUUUAAGAUGUUCCUGUUCAAGGCAGGGGGCUGGACUAGAUGGCCUUUAAAGGUUACUUCCAGCCCAAACCACUCUACAAUUCUAUGAUUUCCAAAUUAUAUACCAUGGUUUUCAUCACCAAAGCUGGUCAAGAAAGGUCUGAUGUCUUGCCUGAAGUUUCCCUGUCACCAAAGAAAUCACAGCUGCAUCUAGUAAUUUUCCAGUCCAGAACUAACUUAGAUCAUUGAAAUGUAGCCAGGCUUAGACAUAUUCGUAAGUGUAUUGGCAUGAUUAAGAACACUGCAAAGACCACAGUAAGAGCAAAGUGACAAUGCACCCUUAGACAAGAAGGCCCUUCCAGUGUGUCUGUAUUAGUUUGCAAGCUCACUGCAUCCAAGCAAAAGCCUAUACUGAAACACACCUAUUCCCAAGCUCUCCAAUCCCCCCCUCCAGCUUCUUAUGCACAACAUAUUGCACAUGUUGCAAGUCUUCUCUACCCCCUCCAUUUGUGAGGAAAAACUGGAUCUACUGACAUAAUAAAAGAACCCUUACAGCAGAAGACAUUGUCUAAACACCUACUGCAUGACAUCCACUGUUCCCACUGUGUCUUCUGCAGAGACCAAAAACAGCCACACAUGUAUUCUCACUAACUGACCUCUCUUGACUAAAGCUAUUGCUUGCUAUUACCUCUGGCUAUACCCUCCCUGGAAAUGCACCAGCACACAGGUCCCAGGGAAGGCAUUUGAACACUGGGACAAAACUUCCUCAAGUUAUAGUUACUGGUCUCCUUAAGAGCAGUAGAGCUGGUAGAAGUGGUUUUUAUCUCACAAACUGUGCUUCCAGUCUGACAGUGCUGUGGACAGCAGUUUUACCUUAGCCUGAUAGGUCUGCUCCAGCUCCAUCUUAUACAGUUUGACUUGUUCAUCGUGUUGGUUUCGCAGAUCCUCCAGAGCCUGAGUCAUUUUGGAUUCAUACUCCUGUUGGCGGCUUGUGUCCACCUCGAUCAAACGAUGUUCAUGUCGUUUUCUUGUUUCCCUUAUUUCCUACACACACACAAAAGAAGAGGGACAAAUUCCCAGACUAAGGUAAACAGUGCAAGCAGUUACAGUCAGACAACAAUUAACUACUGCAGCACUAACUAUUUAGUAUAAUGGCGCUAAGUACUACAGGCAUUUAAGCCUGGGAAUUGCUGCAUGCACUAACAGAUUCAAGUAUCAGGAUGUAAUUCUUAAAAGUGAUCCAGCUUAAAACCAGCUUCAGAAAUAGCCAUAUACUGUCUAAGUAAGGAGCUGGUUUAUGCUACAAAAGUCAAAAUGGGGGGAAGGGAGGUGAAAAAACCAUCAAGUUUUCCAUAGCAAAGAGAUUCCAUAUGCUGCACUACAAACUCUGUCCUUCUUAAUAAACAUCCUGACAUCACAAUAGCGGUCUACACAGAGUCAGAUGAAAAUGAACACCUUUUGUGAACAUUAUAUAUAUAUUAAAAAAUCAUUACAGGGAUAAACUGCAUCUUCAAAUUUCACUCUUAAGCACAUGCUGAUCUCAUAUAUUUUCUAUAUACUUGAUGACCCUUCUCAUAAGAUUUUGAUUAGAGUAUUAAUAAAGUAGCAACCCAAGCAAUCCUGAGAACACAAUUUUUUAUGACUAGAGUUUGUACUAAGGAAUUUUCAUUUUUAGAAAUGUAUGAGUUUUCUGUGCCUAAGAACACUGGUUCCAAACUAGUAAGGUAAGGCUUACUCAUGCACUUAUUCAUGCAGAGACCUGGCCAGGUCUGAAUGUGUGGUAUGAGAAAAACAAUUUCUUCCUUCAGGGCAGGACAAACAACCAAGGAGUGGUUCUGAGUACUGGGAGGAGGCCUGAAGUUAGCAGCAGGGCCAUGAGGAACAACAGCAAGUGAAGCAAGGCUCAGUUUUGCCAGACUGGAGUCAUAACAGGCUAACACAAAUUCAAAGCAACUUUACUAGCUGUUUUGCAGAAAUGCUCUACAUCUAAAGAUAGAUCCCGAGAAAUAUGUCCUUUUACUGGCAGCAAUGUGCUCUGAAAUGAUAUGGAAGAAGCUUUCCCUCUGUGGUUAAUUUUUACACCAAGAAAACUAGCAAGCAGCAGUCUCUCAGUAACUGUAGGCAAUGACAGCUCAGAAGCUGAAGGAAUGUCUUGGGGGGACUACAAAGGAUCAGGUGAAGGGCUGAGCUGAUCCAGCAGCUCAACACCACUAGAAUAAGCAGGCCUCACUUGCCACACUCCCAAUCACAAUGUUUUAAUUCUAAUGGAGACUUGGACCCUUCAGUGAACCAAAUCAAUUCACUAACGUAAAGGAAAAUCAAUUUCCUGUAAAGCAAAUCAAUUUCUUUAUUGCUUCGCGUGUUGAAUUGGUGCAUACAAGAAACAAAGAGCUUCAGGGAUGGCUAAAGAACACUCACCCUUGGGCACAGCAAGCUUUAGCAAUAGCUUCUGCUGUUUCAUUUACCAUCACCUUCAGUCAAUAGUGACACAUUCUCCCCAAGAAAAAAAGUUAUUUUAAGGUCCUACAACCAAUCAAGGGUCUGUCACUGCAGUCAGUAUACCAAUUCAACCACUCCAGGGGCAUGGAAGUGAGACAAUGGUCAGUACAUCUCAGGGUGAUCUUUGGUUUCUUUGCCUUGCUCCAGCCCCUGUCCCCUGUCCUUAGCCACACAGCCCUGUCCCAUCCCUUAAACCAGUCUGAGCACUCCUUUGGAUUCUGUGGUAAAACAUAACUCAGCCACUAAGUGGUUAAAAACUCAACCAAAAAAACUUAAGUAUCUUCCUAGUUAAUCUGGUUGAAAUGGUUUGGUGCAUGGUGAGCCAAGCAUCACACCUAGAGAAAGUGAGAGAAUGGCAGAAGCAUGUGGAGACUGCUCAGCAGCCACUCAUUGAAUGAGCUUGCUGAACCACCAAAGAUGGAAUAAACAGACAUAACACUUUGCAUGUGGUACAGAGAGAAGGUCAGGCUUCCCUUUCCCAAUUCCCACUAUUACAAAAAUUUUGGUCUUCACUAGAACCAUUCACUUAACAGGCAGAAAACUAUCUCUGCAAUAAGCAAGGCAGUUGCAUACUGCUCUUGUCAACAAAAACAGGUUAUAAUCAGGUCCAGCAACCAAAGCUGGCGCAAGUAAAGAGCAGGGCCAUGCAACCAGGUCCAGAGAGAGAGAAGAACAACCCUUUCCCACAGCAGUUAGCUGGCUCCAUGAGUUCACCUGCCCAUGGAACAAUACUCUUGUCACCUGGCUCUCAUACUGACUCCACCACUGAUUAACCAUGUAAAAAGGUGUAAAACCUUUAACUAUUUUAUUACUCAACCCAUUUAUAGGAAGGAUAAUACUGAUUUUCUCUACCUGGACUAGUUACUAGUUGCUCAUAGUCAGUUUGAUUAAACACUACAUUAACUUUGGACAGUGGCAAGAUUACUAUGUUGAUAAUACCUCCUCAAAUACAUUCUUCCUGAAAUCCAGAUCCUCUUGCAAGCUCUGGCACCGAUUUUCCAGGUCCACACGCAUGAGUGUCUCCUUCUCCAACUGCUUCUUUGCCACAGCAUGACCAUCUUCAGCCUAGUAAAGAAUUUUAAAGAUAAUUUUGUCUGGAUUCCUAUCUUCCAUCUAUAAACCUUUUAUGGUCUUCAUUUGAUGUCUUUGGACCAGUUAUCCACAGUAACAAAUCUAAUGUCAAGCCACUGAUUUAAAGAAAACCAACCCACACCACCACCACCAGAAAGAAACACAAUAAACAAAAGCCCCACCAAAAAAAAAAAAGAGUAAGUGUGUGUGUGUGUAUGUGAUAUUUAAACCAAGCAUAUAUGUUUGCAUACCAGCUACUUAAAAUGUAGGAUUAGUUCAAUACAUUUUGAUACAGGAGCCAAGGGUUAUUAAUUCCUCAAGCACAGUAUGUUGCACUUUCUUUUUCUUGCUAGCAUGGUCCCACUGGGUACUCCAGCACAAGUGUAAAAUUAUGCAGGACCUUACAAAGGACAACAUUUGAUAACCCAACAUCCCAUGAGUAUAGAAACACCAGAAAUUUUUUAAUAAAAGCUUCUGAUGAGCAAAAUGUCUAAAAUAAUGUGUUGAUUUGGUUGUUUUACAUAGAUUUUUUACAAUGUAGUUUUGUAUCCAAGAGGGGCCAGGCAAAGGUUCAGCAGUAAGCAAGGUGGAUCAUUGAUAUUCAGACUAUAAACUAACUGCAAAGAAAAAAGGGAAUUUACACUACACAACCUGUCUUGUGCUGAAGCAAGAAAGCACUCCCUACCAUACCUUAGCAAGCUGGGCACGCAGAUCAGCCACCUCUGCUUCCAGACUGCGUUUCUCAUUCAGGACAGUAUUGAGUUCUGCUUCACUUCUGUGGAAGAGAACUUCCAGAUCCUUGAUGCGACCCUGAGCCACAGACAAAUCUGCAUCUUUCUUCUUGUAGCUGGAAAAACAAAAGUACAUUAUACUUAUAUGUGGGUGCACAGCCAUCCUGAGCAUGUCCUGGUUACAGCCACAGGUAUUUUGUUAUCACACACCUUUUAUCAAGCCCAGCUCACCACUACAUGGCUCCUGCAGUAACCUGCAAAUGCUGCUGAUCAUUGACCUGGAACACCCCCAAAACAGUACCAUGUGCAGCCAGUAUCACGUUCUGUAAAUGCAUGGCAUGGUAAAAAACAUGUCAUGGACAGACAAGGGAAAAACAAGUGGCAACUCUGGCAGCCAAGAGAUGGUAAUACACACAAGGUGCAAACAGUACUUUUGCAUCUGGCAGCUACACAGCUGCUAUCCUUUACUUUGGAGUACAGCUCAUGAAGCAAAGUACAUGCAAUGGCCAAAGAGGCCUGAACAUCCCCAGGGUUUUAUAUCUGAUGUGGUCAAGCCUAUUCCUCAUUAUAUAUUCCCACACAAAGUAGUAAAAUAAAACAAUCCACUAUGGAAAUGUGUUCACCUUUCAGGAAUAAACCAGUAUUUCUUCAGCAGCAUUCAUUACAGUCAAAGCAUGUCCAAGCGCUUUAAAUAUCAUUAUUUGAGCUGUUAUAUCUAACUUGCAGAUAUCAUCAAGGUAAUCUUCCUCCUGCCCACCAAGUAUUCAUCAGUCUUUUCAACUAACAUAGUGACUUUCUGCAGCUUUUCUCAGCAUGUAUCAUUAUGUUAUUAAAAAACUGUUUUGUUAUGUGCUGUAAUCCUUCCGUGUUGCUGCUUAAGCUCGCUGUUCUAGUCUCACACCACACGAGGUGCAGGGAACAAUUUUUUAUUUUUUUCUCUUAAGACAUCUCAGACCUAAUUUUUCUCCUUUCCUUUCCUCAAAUUUCUAAUCUAUAGAUCUGUAGUUUGCACUGUGGUACGUAAGCUGCUUUUAAGCGCCCACAGAAAUAACUUUGAAGAGAAUUCCUACUACAUAUAGGCUCUGUAUUCAACCUGCAACUCCAAACAUGAAAGAAAACCAUUACAUUUGCAAAGAGAAGAAAAAAAAGCUGAAAACUACUGCUCUAGAUUAUACAAACCUUAGUGACCAGCCCAAAUGCUGAGGCUUGGUUCCCAAACUCCUCAUCACUUGUACAGUCUUCUUGAAUUUCUAAUUUGCCUGAAUUGGCUAGAAUUAUUUUACAAAAAUCCUCCAUUAUGGGGUAUUGGUGUGCUCUACAUACAAAAUUUCUUUACAUGGUUCAGCGUGAUGUGCACCUUUUUCUAAGUUAACACCUUUAUUUUGUGAUGCAUGCAGCUUGUGUUUUCUCUCUACAUUUCAUAGUGAAGAUCUUGGAAUUUGUUUUCAUUUAACUGUAAACAAUUUUUCUUAUCGGUCCAAUCUGUCACUGUGAAUUCUGUUCUGCAACAUAUGUGCAGUGUCUUCAAACUCAGCAGCUUGCUGGAGGCAUAUAGACAAAACAUGGCUUCUACUUAAAAGACAUUUAUUUAGCAGCCAUCAGAAGGUCACAAGCACUGUAUUACACAUGUUGCAAUGUAAAACAAGCCACUGUGCCCGUGUCACAACCAAUCAGACCUGGGAGCCUUCCGCCUGUGCAGGACCCAAAGGGCAAAUGCCACUUCACUCCGAGCAUGAACAGCAGUAUGUGCUCACACAGCCUCCUACUUCCUCCCACCUGCAGAAGCCAGGCAGCAAGCGAGUGCUUCCAGGGAUGGGAAUGAACAGAAGUGUUUGAUGUACAGCUUGACAAAGAGCCAUAGAGAAUUCUUGACAGUGAUAAGUAACUUUGGCCCCCCUCAAGGACACUAACAACAUUGCAAGCCACUUUCAUUCACAUUUUUAUUUUCACUUAUAAUUUCAGCCUGGCUUAUUGCUUUCAUGCAAAAAUGUGACAGAAGUUUUACAAAGGUAAAACUGCUUUUGGGGGUCUCUGAGAUGUUAAAAAGUUCCCAAAAGCAGUCAACGCAUCUGGUGAGUAUGUCAAUGCUUCAAGGAACACCACAUUAGGGUAACUCUUGAGAGUUCUUUGUUUCCAGAAAGUGCCAAGUUUGCUCAAGGGAAAUGUUUCAGUGACCACAGAAUCACAGGAUUGUUUGGGUUGGAAGGGUCCUUAAAGCCCAUCUCAUUCCACCCCCAUCAUGCUCCAAGCCCUGUCCAACCUGGCCUUGAACACUUCUAGGGAUGGGGCAGCCACAACUGCUCUAGGCAACCCGUGCCAGGCCUUUACCACCUUCACAGGGAAGAAUUUGUUCCUAACAUCGAAUCUAAACAUACUCUCUUUCAGUCUGAAGCCACACCCUGCUGUCCUGUCCCUACACAUGGGGUAGGUAGCAGGCAGAGGAAGUCACAGCAUGACAUUCACCCCUCUCAGAGCUGGGAACGUGCAGCUCCAGCAGAAGUCUGCUACAACAAGCAGAAUGAUGACACCUGACAGAUACUGACCUUCAGACCUGGCUUGACCUGGGGAAAAGUGAUGCCGGUGAAGAUACGAACAGACACUUCAUGAACACCAGGACAGGAGACUUUCCUUAACCAUGCCAUCAGAGUUACCUCUGCUAUCAAUGAAUGGAGCUUAUUCACUUCACCAGAUCUGGUUCAACAGUCUUGUGGGAGGAUGGCGUUCUACCCAAGCAGAAGUGUUGUGCACCUCAUCAUCCAUACCUCCUCCACUUACCCCCUCCCUCCAGCAGUCAAAAGUUUUGUCAAACAGCUGAAGAUGAAAACACAAACACUGGAAGCCGUUACACAGCAUAUAGGACAGAACCAUACCUGCUACAGAAUAAUAUGAGAAUGGCUAUUUUUACAACAAUAUUUUAAUUCUAGAUUUAAAAAUAUGUCCCGACUCCUGAUACAAACAUCUUUAAAAGUUAAGCUGUUCCUUACAUAAUAUAAAUGGUGUUCAAACAUC